AUAGUACUUCCUCCAUUCCAAAUUACUCGUCGCAGAAAUGGAUGUAUGUAAAACUAAAAUACAUCUAGAUACAUUCAAAUUUGCGACAAGUAAUUCAGAACGGAGGGAGUAUAAA
rfam:Triticum urartu cultivar G1812 contig883431, whole genome shotgun sequence.